UGACAGCUUACUAAAACUCUUGGUGUAUUGUCAGAAUAUGUGAAACCUCAGGUCAAGAACCUUCUGAUGUUAAGUUUGACAGACAAAUAAAUUUUGUCCUCAAAAGGAGUUUCUGUCAACUCAGGUCAAUUGUCUUUAAUUCAUUUGUUACUCCUCAGGUACUGCAACAUGCAGCUGCAAGAUUGCUCACAGGCACUAUAAGAAAAGAGAACAUAUCACUCAGGUUUAACAGAUCUUUUAUCUAUUUUUAAGGCCCUUAAUAGAGCUGCACCUUUUUAUGUCCCACAGUUACCACAACUUCAUUCCUCGUCCAGGUCCCUAAGGUCUUUUAGCACCUGGCUGUUCCACAGCCUUGGCUGAAGCUCAUGACUGAGCUUUUGCAGUUGCAGUACCACGAAACUGCCUAAAAUAAAAUCACAUUCUUUCCUGACAUCAAAUUAACGUAACAGGAUAUCUUCUCCUUUCUAGGGACGGGAAGCAAAUUGAUUUCGUAGCAAUGAAUGAACAUUACGAUUUUGAAUUUCAGCAAGCUGUGAACCCCCCGAAAAAACUAAGACCAUUCUGCUGGUAGGUGUCCAAUUGGUAGGUGUCUCAAUUGUGCCUUCAUGGUUGGUCUCACAGUUUCAAAUUCAUAGUUAUUCACACAUGCCAACAUAGGGCUGUAGUCAAGAUCACUUUGUCAAGUCCAAGACCAGCCCAAGACUAUGACUAGUGGCAAUCAGUCAGAAUCAAGUUGGAGUCCAAAUGAGAAUAAACAAAUUAAUAUAAUUUCUGCCCUCACAGGGGGACAAGCUCCUGGUGGAAUGCACAUACAACACUGGUAACUGAACAAGACUCACUUGGUGAGUGCUACACACUAAUGAGCUCAAAGAGCUGGGAUGGAAAGUCAGUCAGAGUAUCAGUAAAUGCUCAAGAGGAUUCAGCAGUACAUAACAGUCGGGAACAUAGAAAACAUGUCGCUCUUCGUGGGGAUGAUUCCUGAGCUCAGAGCCACUCCCUCUGUGAGCUGCGAUACAAACAGAUCUGACAUGAUGACUCCUGCUGUGGGGUUAGUGCUGCUCCUCUGGCUCUUAGCAUCACUGGGUCAUAACUCUCCUCAUGACCACAGAAAUGGAGGUGGUCAAACAAGAAGACAAGUGACAUUUGAGUGACUAUUCAGUAGUGCUAGUACUAAUUUACUCAGAUAAUGCAGCAAUGAUGUGAAUGGUUGGUUUCAAUGGCUAGAUUUGGAUACUUGGUAUGACGCAAACUGUAUGUCCAAAAGGUCAGAGUUCAGCUAAGCUAUAAGAUGCACCAUUUACUGACACAGGUGCUCUGUUGUGCACAUGCAGUUUGUAUAAUCUCCAUAGAAAAGCCAAUAUAUGGGGAGACACUCUGGAAUGGCUGCACAUGAGCCUGAGGUCACUAUGACCACUGGUAAAUGACUAAAGGGGUAUAAAGCCCCCAACAAUGGGGUGUAGAGCAGCUCCAUCCAAUACAUUUGGAUUGAGUUGGAGUGGAGUUUGUGAUCCAGAGCUAAUCAUCUAACAUCAGUACCUGACCUCACUAAUGCUCUAGUGAAUACAGUCAAAUCCUCACAGCAGUGGUCCAACAUUUAGUGUAAAGCCCACCCAAAAGAGUGGAGGUUGUUACUACAGUAAAGGGAAACAAACUCCCCAAUAAUACUGUUGAUUUCAGAAGAAACGCUGGAUGAGCAGGUGUCUACAAACCUUUGGACAUACAGUUUAUGUUGCUUUAGUUUACUUAGGUAUUUCUUCUCAAUGAAAAUUACACCAAUCAUUAAAUAAAUCAUACUGAUAUUUCACUUAUUUCUUAUACCAGAUGUUUUUUUGUAAAAAGCUGCCGGAAGGAGAAGAUUAUUGUUCUCAGGUAAGCAAAAUGAAUAAAACACUUUAAAGGAGUUGAUUUUCUUCCCACAUUCUGAUAUGUAAGUAAAGUAAUAAAAUGAGAAAAUCAUAAAAGCUAUAGGUGCUAUUUUGAGUCAGUUCUUUAAAGCCAGGCAUACGCUGCGAUUUUAUAAAUGACAACAAAGAUAACCGAGUCCGACUGACAUGACUUACACUGCAGACAAUUUCCAAUAGAGCUGUUUCAUUCAAAAAAGCUCAGUGGCUUCUGAAUUCUGAGCAAAAGCACUGGCUGAAUCUCAAAUUACUCCCUGCUCCCUACAUAGUGCACCAUGUAUUCAAAUAGUGUCUCCUGCGCCCAUACAGUGCAUCACAUAUCUAGCAAAUGACCUUUUCGGAUUCAGAAAUAUGUGCACAAUUCCAUACUGGACAAACAGUGCACUAUUUUGGUGUAGAAGCCAGAAUUUAGUGCACUACAUAAGACGUAGGGGGCUGAUGAGAUUCUGCCAUUGACAAACCGCUACAACAGCUUUGCUAACUUGUGGCACAGUACCCAUGUUUACAUGCUGCCCAAUAAUCCAGUAAUAAUCCGUUCAACAUGGCGGAAGCAGAAACUGCUCAAUCGGAUUGGCAAAAAUCUUGGAUGCCAUACACUGUAGCUAAAGAACAGGUGAUCUACAGAUAGCUCUACAAAGACAAAAAUCACCAUAUUUAUUUAUACCCUACAAUUCAACUCAGUCAAAUGGAGCAAAGCAGGCAUUUACGGACAUUGGUGCCACAAAUCUUGACUUUUAGGAGCUAAUUGUGAGUGGUUUUGGGUGUGACUUUGAGCAAUAGGUUCGUGAGGCUGCUUAGACUGUGAGACACAGAAGUCAGUCACAUGGACUGAGUUCUAUGUGUUAUUAAUACAUCUGUUGUAACAUCUUUGUACCUUUUACAUACACUUUGUUUCUUCAGGCAGUCUUGGCCUUCUGUGACAAACGUAUUCUUCUAAAAUGCCAUGUCAUCCUUCAUCAGCUAUUUCAGUUCUAUUUAUUAGUUACACCACUGCAAAAAAUAAUAAUCACUGGCCUUAAGCCAUUACAUUCAUACAUACCAUUAUCUAAAGCACACUUUAAAAAAUGGGGCUAUGCUCUUGGUUACAUCAUGUUACAUCAAUUUACAUAUCCAACUUUUCCAUUAUUUUAUUGAUCGAGUGAGUACAAAAUGUUAUAAUCUGAUGAUCCCAAAUUGUGAACAAAGAAGGAAAUGUUUAAAUACAUGCUUUUAAAUAAAAUGGAUGUAAAACGUUACUGUCUGUGUAUGUGCAGGCCAAGGUUCUUAAUUAAUGUC
ensembl:lncRNA